rnacentral:rRNA from 1 species
UACAGAGGGGGCAAGCGUUAUUCGGAAUCACUGGGCUUAAAGGGUGCGUAGGCGGCGCGACAAGUUGGGUGUGAAAUCCCUCGGCUCAACCGAGGAACUGCGCCCAAAACUGUCGUGCUCGAGGGAGACAGAGGUGAGCGGAACUUAGGGUGGAGCGGUGAAAUGCGUUGAUAUCCUAAGGAACACCGGUGGCGAAAGCGGCUCACUGGGUCUCUUCUGACGCUGAGGCACGAAAGCUAGGGUAGCGAACGGG